ACACAUGCAAGUCGAACGAGCAAGAGAGAGCUUGCUUUCUCGAGCGAGUGGCGAACGGGUGAGUAACGCGUGAGGAACCUGCCUCAAAGAGGGGGACAACAGUUGGAAACGACUGCUAAUACCGCAUAAGCCCACGGGUCGGCAUCGACCAGAGGGAAAAGGAGUGAUCCGCUUUGAGAUGGCCUCGCGUCCGAUUAGCUAGUUGGUGAGGUAACGGCCCACCAAGGCGACGAUCGGUAGCCGGACUGAGAGGUUGAACGGCCACAUUGGGACUGAGACACGGCCCAGACUCCUACGGGAGGCAGCAGUGGGGAAUAUUGCACAAUGGGGGAAACCCUGAUGCAGCGACGCCGCGUGGAGGAAGAAGGUCUUCGGAUUGUAAACUCCUGUUGUUGGGGAAGAUAAUGACGGUACCCAACAAGGAAGUGACGGCUAACUACGUGCCAGCAGCCGCGGUAAAACGUAGGUCACAAGCGUUGUCCGGAAUUACUGGGUGUAAAGGGAGCGCAGGCGGGAAGACAAGUUGGAAGUGAAAUCCAUGGGCUCAACCCAUGAACUGCUUUCAAAACUGUUUUUCUUGAGUAGUGCAGAGGUAGGCGGAAUUCCCGGUGUAGCGGUGGAAUGCGUAGAUAUCGGGAGGAACACCAGUGGCGAAGGCGGCCUACUGGGCACCAACUGACGCUGAGGCUCGAAAGUGUGGGUAGCAAACAGGAUUAGAUACCCUGGUAGUCCACACCGUAAACGAUGAUUACUAGGUGUUGGAGGAUUGACCCCUUCAGUGCCGCAGUUAACACAAUAAGUAAUCCACCUGGGGAGUACGACCGCAAGGUUGAAACUCAAAGGAAUUGACGGGGG
rnacentral:rRNA from 1 species